rnacentral:rRNA from 1 species
GUGGGGAAUUUUCCGCAAUGGGCGAAAGCCUGACGGAGCAAUACCGCGUGAGGGAAGAAGGUCUGUGGAUUGUAAACCUCUUUUGUUAGGGAAGAUAAUGACGGUACCUAACGAAUAAGCAUCGGCUAACUCCGUGCCAGCAGCCGCGGUAAGACGGAGGAUGCAAGCGUUAUCCGGAAUUAUUGGGCGUAAAGCGUACGUAGGCGGUUUUAUAAGUCUGUUGUCAAAGCCCGAGGCUUAACCUUGGAAAGGCAAUGGAAACUGUAAGACUAGAGAGAGAUAGGGGCAGGAGGAAUUCCAGGUGUAGCGGUGAAAUGCGUAGAUAUCUGGAAGAACACCAGUGGCGAAAGCGUCCUGCUGGAUCUCAACUGACGCUGAAGUACGAAAGCUAGGGGAGCGAAUGGGAUUAGAAACCCUUGUAGUCC